UUAACACACAGCCAGUCUGGGUGAAGUGAUAUUCCCUAAUCAGCUCCCAGAGUUGGUCCAGAGGACAUUGACUACCCAAGGUCAGCGGUAGACUCAGUCAUUCUUCCAAAAACAGUGUGUCCACUAGGUUAUUGGAAAACAGAUGGCUUCCCUUAGAGUGUCCGCUAGCCUGGAGUCUGACGUCGUUAUUAAGACUCAGAAACACUGUGUGUGUGUUAUUGGUCUAAGUUGCACCCAAAGAAUUAGGUUGUCAGUUGAUUUUCUUCAACAGCAGCCAAACUUUUUUUACACUGUCAAUAAUAAGGUACUCUCAGAAUUCAACUGUAACUCAAACUGUUAUCCAUUCAGGGAUGACUCCCAAAAGGUAGUUCCUUCUUCGUCUAGUGCGCUGUGGAGUGCUGCUGGUUGAGACACAUUUAUUCUUCACGUCUUUCAACGGUUGUUUUCACGAACAUGAGAUGGUACAGGUUUCCCGUUUUAAAGCGAAUAGAAGAUUGGAACCAGAGAAUCCUAUUCCAUCAGCCCAACUCUGCUUCUAAUGAUGUCAUUCUUCAUCUAUGCCAGUUGGGUCCGUAGAGAGAGUGGGCGCCAACAUAUUCGGAAGUUCAAAAACAAUGAUGUUUUGCAGUUUGGGGGCAUAUUAGGAGUGACCCCUUCCAGGAGGCCUUAUCCAAACAACAUCUAUUUCUUGGGAGGCAAAACAAUACGGAUCACAUGCUCUCCAGCACAGAAUAACACACUUGCAGGAAGCUAAGUAAGAGAAGUGUUUUGUCAGAAGAUGAUGAUGAUGUGGCUAUAGUAGUUUAAAAAAAAAGCAUUUCUGGGCGCUAUCAAUGUAAAUUGUUGCACUCUUUCAGACAACCAGAGUUCAGAGAACACUUCCAUAAUGUACCACAGUACAUUACAAGUCACAUAUGUUCAGUGAGUUCAAAAUGUUGACUCUCUUUUUCAACCAAUGUAUCGCCUGUUUACUAAACAAAACAUCUCAAUGGGUGGUCCAGGUAUGACAUGACAUGAUAUAGGAGGGGCCUUUACACUUUUGUUCUUUCAAGGAAGGGGGGAGCUGAUGACAUUAUGUUAAACUAAUAACUCCUUUAAUGGGCUUCUCCUUGCAGUUGUAUCAAAGAAAACAUUUUCAGUCUAAAACUGGUUGGUUUACUCUUGUUUUUUUUACCAUAUAAACAACAGAAAUGUAAAUAAACCUGUAUAGCCACAAAAUAUGGUACAGAAAAAUAUGAAAAUAUGUGCACUUACUACUGUACGUCAGUUUGGAUGGUCAGGCCUUGUUUUCAUAGCUCUGUCUGUCUCUAGAUCCAUAAUUCAGCUAUUUACCAAAACACAGAUUGGGUGACCACGUCGUUAUUGUUUAACAGUAGGAUCCAAGCUUUAAAGCCUGAAUCAUUAUUGGUGAAUCUGCCACAACCAAGUUACAGCAAACAACAAACACAGUUUAUUCCAUUCCUAACCACCCUUCACCAGCGAUAAAAUAGCAGCAUGUGAACCGUACAUAGUUUUCGGCACUGUGUUGUUAUUGUACUGGAUAAUUUUGUUUGUAGAGUACAUCGUUUUUUGUAAUGGAUAUAGUUCUUUGUACUGUAUGUUGUUUUUUUACUGAAUGUUGUUUUAUGUACUGUAUGUCGUUUUGUGUACUGUAUGUUAUUCUUUAUGCACUGCACAUAGUUUUUUGUACUGUACAUAGUUUUUUGCACUGCACAUAGUUUUUUGCACUGUACGUUGUUUUUGUACAGCAUGUUGUUUUUUGUACAGCAUGUUGAUUUUUGUACAGCAUGUUGUUCUGUACUCUGUUGUUUUUUGUACGGCACAUUAUAAUUUUUUUGUUACUGCAUGUUGUUUUUUGUACCGUUUGUUGUUUUUCGUGCUGGACGUUGUUUUGCGUUCUGUACUAAGUUUUUUGUACUCCCCUUUGUUUUGUGUCAUGUAAGUUGGUUUUUGUACAAAAUGUAGUUUUCACUUUAAUGCCCGACACUGGCAUGGUUUAUCAACCAAACUAAUGAGUGGAGUGUUACCAUUACUCUGGGACUCUGGGGACAUUUGUCUUUAGAAAACCUAUGAUUAAUAACUAGGCGUAAUUUUAUGAGACUCUGGGGCAAGGUGGGGGAGAGAUUGUGCUGCUGAAACAGUAGUGAGUUGGAUUCAAAUUCAUCCUGCAGCAGCCAGUGUGCCCUGGAGGCAACAACUUGGACCAUACAUACAGUGUUACAAUGUUCAGAUAUUGCUGUAGGGCACCUUUAUGCAUUUCACCGGCAUCAUGACAACUGUGAGAUGUGUCAGUUUUGGCCUGGUACUGGGUGUAUAAAUGUCGGAAGUUUCCAGAUUGUUUGGAUUUGCUGAGGGAAUUCCAUACAGUGAUGUAUCUGUGGAUGAGGAACGACGCAGAGGAAGAAAGGUACCAACAUGCAAUACUGGAUCAUUGGCACCAACUUUUUUAUUUUGUAUUUUUUUUACAAAGGACUGUUCCAGGCAUCUGGACAAGAGUUGCAAGACAAUGUUUCCCAAUGAAUUAGAACAAUGCAUCCAAAAGAAAUCAAAAAUGGAUUAAAUCGUUAAUAAAUGUAUCACAAGCCAUAGAAGGAAAUAUCUUUAAAACAUACAUUUAUUUACAGGGAAGCUGUAAAUCAAAUAGAUUUUACCAGGCCACAUUUGUCAGAGGGACAGGCAGAGCGAUGGGUCUGGAUAAAGAGAUGCUUUCACUGGGAUAGUCAGAGCUGAAACAGAGAGUUCUCUGGUCAGGAGCUGGCUGAGAGCAAUAAAUUGAAUGAAAACGGAACCAACUCAAAGGGGAAACUAUUCAUCCCAGCUCUAUAACUCUUCCUGCUCCUUUCCCUAUUAUAUUUUACAUCCAGCGUUGCGCUGAUUGCAUUAGCAGGCUCAUUGUGGCCUUGAAAGAACAAAGCCGUCAUAGCUGGAAAUGCAGCCAGGGCUAUGGAAGGCAACUCGGAGCUCUGGGCCGAUUCAGUGAUGGCCCCGGUCCACGGGAUGAGAAAUGGCCCCAAAGUCUUGACACGGCACAGACAUGUCCAGCUUAAUGAUGACAUUUUCAAAGGGAGGACGACAUCCUCUAAAGCCACAGACCUGAGCAAGCAUAGAGGCCACAGUUUGUGGAAUAUGUGGUGGCGAGACACUAGUCCGUUACAGACCGACACACUGCCUCAGAUUCCCUGGGCACAGAUGAAGUCUUGGUUUCCCAAACCCGCUCUGCCGCACCCACGACCAGACAGAACUCUUGAUCGCAAGCUGAAUGUGCAAGAGUGACGAGAUAUUAAGGUUUUGUCUUUGUAAACACUAAGUGAAAAUGGUGGGGGAGUGUCCUUUCAUCAUUAGAAAUGCUGUUACCUUAAGUUCCUACAGCAUCCACUUAGGUACACUUAGCCUUACUGUAUGUGAUUAAAUAAAGAUGCUUGAAAUUC
ensembl:lncRNA